CUGGCAGGCAUUAUGAAACUACAAGCAAGUACCCCAGGCAGCAGCUUGGUGAUUUCUCUUGGAGAUACGAGGAAGACUGACACUGAGCGCGACUGGAAGCGACAGGUGAUGAAAGAGGAGGAGAAUGAAAGUGACUGUUGUAACAAAGCCUUUGAAUUAACAGCAGAUGAAAAGAAAACUGAACUAAUUCAAGGCUAAGACACACUGGUAAUAUUUAUCUGUGCAAUGGAAAAGAAACAGUAGAGGAGACAAUAAAACAGAGUAUUGAUCCUGAAAGCCACACUAUGGAUUCCUUUUGGAAAACAGUGUAAGGAUGGAAGGUACAGGUAAAGAAUAAAAGAACAAGGCCCCGCAGGAGAUGAUUCGGAGUUGCAUGAUAUUGCCAGCCUUGGCUGUGACAAAAUGAAUAUACGCUCUUCCCCUGCUUCCUAUGAGCUGGACUUUCACAAGUUCUAUCUACACUGUAAACAAAUUCUCUUCAGAUGACUAGGCCCAAACCAGGCUUUAGCUGUUAAGAUCUAGCAAGAUAAUAACCUGAGCUGAUAAAUCAGUCACAGAACUAUAGCAACAGGGUAAAUUUCCUACUGCUGUGUCAGACAGUUCUAUCACAUCCAAUUUGAUUAAACUGAAGUUGGCAAGAAGUGAUUAAAAAAAUAACCUGA